rnacentral:rRNA from 1 species
AUGUGGCCGCCGAGAGCCUGGCCCGUCCAUAGUAGCCGGAAACAGGGAACGGUAGGCCGUCCCUCGAUCCCGAUUCAUUGUCCCAGAAUCGGAUUCGGGAACGAGGUCGGAUUCGGUACGAUUCAAUGGAGAUUCGGCGUCCCCACAGCCUGCUCCUCGAUUCAGGUUCGAGGAUCCAACAGCCAAAACGCGAGGCAUAAUUUACUCACGCUGUCGUUCAUUUUCUCAAGGACUCCUCUUUCUUCCUCCAGUCCAUUAAUUGCAAGUGAUCCAUUAACAUCAAGGAAUGCUGACCGUCAAGGAGUCGUCGUUCUUCAGGAACUGCGUUCCUCGACCCAUGGUACCGUACCGGGUUCAUCGUACCCAAACGAAUUGGAUCGCGUCCCUGCUAUAAAAAAAUCGUUCGAGAGAUGUAUACCCUCGUUGUACCCUAUUUUUUUCAAUCACCGACUCUCGUCCCUCGUUCCCGUUCCUCGUUCCCACCGUACCGGAAACAUGGCAACUAUGGGCCCGUCUCGAAGCCCAGCCCGCAGAUGUGCCAGUCGUGCUGCUGCCUGUGCCUGUCCUCGCGCCUUUGCCACUCCCGGAUGGCCCUGGCGGCGCCGACGCCGAGCUCCAGCCCGUGCCGACCCCGGUGGUGGGUGGUCCGGUGCGCCCGCCCAGCGCCUGGAACGUCUCGAAGGCCCGGCCGCACGUCUUGCAGACGAACUCCCCCUCCCCCGACAUCGCCACCACCCUCCCCCGCCGUGUCCUCUUCUUUGCCGCCGGCGCACCGGUGCCAGAGUCGUCCGAGUCGUGGUCGACACCGAGGAGUCCGUGCUCAGGGACAGCGCCAGCGAAACAAUCGGCUCCUCCUCCCUCGCGCGCUUCAUCCCCGCUCCCAUGGAGAUGAAUUUGCUGCUCCUCUUGAUGAUCUGCUGGAUUUUGGUUGAUGCUCUUUUCUUUUGCGUUGCUGUAGUUCCGCGAGAGGCUGCCGCACUUAUAUAUAGGUUGUGUAGCUGGCAUGCGUGUUGCUGCCGGGGGAGCUUACGUGUGUGCCAACUUGGCCUACCUCUGGCGUCUGCGGAAGCCACCACGACGUUCGCGACGUGA